CGGACGGGUGAGUAACACGUGGAUAACCUACCUAUAAGACUGGGAUAACUUCGGGAAACCGGAGCUAAUACCGGAUAAUAUAUUGAACCGCAUGGUUCAAUAGCGAAAGACGGUUUUGCUGUCACAUAUAGAUGGAUCCGCGCCGCAUUAGCUAGUUGGUAAGGUAACGGCUUACCAAGGCGACGAUGCGUAGCCGACCUGAGAGGGUGAUCGGCCACACUGGAACUGAGACACGGUCCAG
rnacentral:rRNA from 1 species